rnacentral:rRNA from 1 species
GGAAUAUUGGACAAUGGGCGCAAGCCUGAUCCAGCCAUCCCGCGUGAGUGAUGAAGGCCCUCGGGUCGUAAAGCUCUGUGGAGAGGGACGAACGUCCGUACGUGAAUAGCGUGCGGGGUGACGGUACCUCUUUAGCAAGCACCGGCUAACUCCGUGCCAGCAGCCGCGGUAAUACGGAGGGUGCAAACGUUGCUCGGAAUCAUUGGGCGUAAAGCGCACGUAGGCGGUCCGUUAAGUCGGAUGUGAAAGCCCUCGGCUUAACCGGGGAAGUGCAUUCGAAACUAGCGGGCUUGAGUACGGGAGAGGGUUGCGGAAUUCCCGGUGUAGAGGUGAAAUUCGUAGAUAUCGGGAGGAACACCAGAGGCGAAGGCGGCAACCUGGACCGAUACUGACGCUGAGGUGCGAAAGCGUGGGGAGCAA